rnacentral:rRNA from 1 species
GACGAACGCUGGCGGCGUGCUUAACACAUGCAAGUCGAACGGAAAGGCCCCUUUGGGGGUACUCGAGUGGCGAACGGGUGAGUAACACGUGAGUAACCUGCCCUUGACUUCGGGAUAACUUCAGGAAACUGGGGCUAAUACCGGAUAGGAAUCCUUGCUGCAUGGUGGGGGUUGGAAAGCUUCGGCGGUUUUGGAUGGACUCGCGGCUCAUCAGCUUGUUGGUGGGGUAGUGGCUUACCAAGGCUUUGACGGGUAGCCGGCCUGAGAGGGCGACCGGCCACAUUGGGACUCAGAUACGGCCCAGACUCCUACGGGAGGCAGCAGUGGGGAAUAUUGCACAAUGGGCGGAAGCCUGAUGCAGCAACGCCGCGUGCGGGAUGACGGCCUUCGGGUUGUAAACCGCUUUCAGCAGGGGCGAAGCUUGUGGUGACGGUACCUGCAGAAGAAGCACCGGCUAACUACGUG